CGGAGGUCUUCCUCCCAAAAACCCAUAACCUGGGUCUGUCUAAUCAUGAGGAAAAGAUUAGAGGAAUCCCAAUUAGGAGACUUUCUACAAAACACCUGGUCAGCAAUCCUCGAAACAGCCAAGGUCAUCAAAAAGAGAAACUCUGAGAAACUGUUCUAGCCAAGAGGGGCCUAAGGAGACCUAACUGCUAACUGUAAUGUGCUGUCCCGCAUGAGAUCCUCAGGCAGAAAGGGGACGUGAAGGGAAAACAGGAAAUCUGAAGAAAGUGUGGGCUUUAGUCAAGAAUAUGUGUCAAUAUGCGUUUGUUAGUUGUGGCAAAUGUACCACACCAACAUGAGGCGUCAACAGCAGGGCACACUGGGUGCCGGGUGUAUGAAACUCUCUGUACUAUCCUCCCAAUAGCUCUGUAAAUCUAAAACUGUUCUUUUUAUUAAAACAAAAAGCAGGCCCGCUCAAAGUUGACCAACAUCUAGCUACUUCCUUGUGAAGUGAUCCAAAUGAGUGUCCACACAUCAUCCUCUCGCAGUCGGGAAACCAGGGCACUCAGACAAAGGGGCGUGCUCAGAGUUUCAACAGGAGGCCAAGACUGCAAGGCGUUCUCUCUGCGGGGUCCUGGCUGGGAAGCAGGUUUCCCCCAUAAAGCCAGCUGUCCACCGUGCUGGAGACAUUGAUGCUAAAGCAUCCAUCUUUCAACUGUGUUCUUGAACUAUAGAUGUCAGUGGUCCAUAGGAGUAACAAUGUGGUGUCUUAUAAAGUCUUGGAAGGAGGGAAAUAAGAAUCAAGUUACCCAAAUAGAAAUUAACCCAUCAAUUAGAGUAACCUAAGGAACUGUCUAAUAAUAUGAUGGAAGAAUUGUCACGUCGACUUAGGGAAGAACUGUGCUGUGGUGACAUGAACUGAGCACAGCCUUAUGCCUCUGUCCUGUUCCUUGUGUGGGAAAGGCUGUGAUCAGACCGAAGAUGGAUAAAGCAGCCUAAGGAGCCCAGAGAGGGCAGCAAGCAUCCAAGAGCUGACCAGCAGAGGAUGCCUAGCCACAAGACCUGGCCUCUCUGCAUCCUCCACUCCUGUUUGUGUCUUUCAGCAACUUCACUUUGCUUGGGACUCCUGGCUCCCCGUUACGGGUUGAAAUAUCUCCCCCAAAAGAUAUGUUGAAGCGCUAAUCUGGUACCUGUGAGUGUGACCUUAUUUGCAAAGAGGGUCGUUGCAGAUGUAAUUAGCCAAGUUAAGGUGAGGUCGUACUGGAGUCGAGCCGUUAGCACUCAGGCUCACACCCGGCUCAGGGAGCUUCUGCUUUCCUCCCUGUGGACUGACAAAGCUGUUCUGAACCUCCAAGGAUGAAGAGCAGCUCCUGGACUGUAGUGCACUCAAGAGGAAGACGUGGCCCUCCCUAUCGACACGGUAGCCUCACCAAGUGCUUUUUAUUCCACACUUCCUCCCCCACCCCAACUACAAGGAACGUGCAAAGAAAAGAGAUGGGGAAGAAAGAUGCCUGUCGACGAAAAUAAUCCAUAACCAAUCUGUAAAUGAAAAUUUGGGUGAGUUUAUUCUGAGCUGAAAUCUGAGGACCAUAGCCCGGGGCCUUUCUUCCCAAAGUAAGAAAGGGCACCGAAGAAGUGGGGUGCACAGAGUGGUUAUAUACCCUCAAACAGGGUGUCUCACAUGAUUGAAAUGUCCCUCCCACAAUAGUCACAAGAUUGCCCUGUCGGCACAGCACUUGAUGGACACAGCAGGUAGUGGGUCUGCUAUCUGCAAGGGCGCAGCAGGAGGCAAGUCUAUUGUCUCAAGCUGGGCGGUCACAGGUGAGCGCAGCAAUCAGUUUCUAGCCUAAGGAAAGAUGCUUAAUCCUUAAGGAGACACCAACGUUGGGAGGGGGAGGGAAGUUGCACCUUUAUCUCAAGGGCCUUU
rnacentral:lncRNA from 1 species